UGUGCGGGUGGGCACGCUGUAAAAGCCUCCCCGAGGCACAGAGGAACGCCUCGGGGAGCUGAAGCUUUUCGAAAAUAAAAACGAAAGGACAUGAAAGUGUUAAUGACGUCCUCCCAGGCGACCCUGUCACACCAGCAGGGACAUGCGACAAAUUGGUUUGAAAACAUUUUCUUUUGAAUCACUGAUUCCCGCCCGCGGAUGAGGCUUCGCAAGAAAAUCCAAAGGCCGUGAGAUUCAGAUGUGCAGCUAAAGGAUUGCGAUGGCCUUUCAAGAUAGACCCAACAGAUUUCAUGGCGCUAUUUCGAAGAAUGGUGGGGCAGUUCUCCUGGUAUCCUUGCCAAGGGUGAGUCUUGUGUUGGAAAAUGAUCACAUACCAGAGAGAGUCUUUGAUCAAGGGCGAAAGAGAUCUCAAAGCAGUCGGACUUGAAAGACAUCAAAGUGCAAACAGAGGCUACAGCUUGAAUGGACUACACAAUGAAAGGAGGCCUACAGAACAGUCUGGAGAUAGGACCACAAGCAGGUGUCCUCA